GUGGCAGUAACCAUUAGUCCUAGGGUGUUCUGCCAUGUUGAAGCAAGCUGUGGUUAAGCUUAUUCGGGGGCCUUUGCACCAAGCCUGCUGGACAAAGUGGGGUCGGCGGGAACUUCGGCUGGAUCAUCUCCUACCUGUCACCCCGCUUCACAAGGACAGUGCUCUUUCUGAUAAAAGGAGUGAGCUGAAGAGACAUUUGAAGGAUGAGGAGAAGCUCAGUGAGAAGCAGCUGAGUCAAGCCCCUGCCACCAAUCACUCUGUUGACCAUGGUGUGCCCACUGACGAAGAGAUCCUGGAUCCACAUCAAUAUUACAAGAUCCGCAGCCAGGCGAUCCAGCAGCUGAAGAUCAAUGGAGAGGACCCCUACCCACACAAGUUCCACGUAGACACCUCACUCACCCGCUUUAUCAAGCAGUACAGUUAUUUGCAACCAGGGGACCAUCUGACUGAUGUCACCUUGAGAGUGGCAGGUCGUAUCCAUGCAAAACGGUCUGCAGGGAAAAAGCUCAUCUUUUAUGAUAUUCGAGGAGAGGGAGUCAAGCUGCAGGUCAAGGCCACGUCCAGGAAUUAUAAAUCAGAAGAAGAAUUUUUUCAUGUAAAUAACAAACUUCGACGGGGAGACAUUAUUGGGGUUCAGGGCAAUCCAGGGAAGACCAAGAAGGGAGAGCUGAGCAUCAUUCCCCAGGAGAUUACACUCCUGUCACCGUGUCUUCACAUGUUGCCUCACCUUCAUUAUGGCCUCAAAGACAAGGAAACACGUUAUCGCCAGCGAUACUUAGACUUGAUCCUGAAUAACUUUGUGAGACAGAAGUUCAUCACCCGCUCCAAGAUUAUUACCUACAUAAGGAGCUUCCUAGAUGAGUUGGGCUUCCUGGAGAUUGAAACUCCUAUGAUGAACUUCAUUCCAGGAGGAGCAGUGGCCAAGCCCUUUGUCACCUACCACAACGAGCUGGACAUGAACUUGUUUAUGAGAAUUGCCCCAGAGCUCUAUCACAAGAUGCUGGUGGUUGGUGGCAUUGACCGGGUUUAUGAAAUUGGACGUCAGUUCAGGAAUGAAGGAAUUGAUUUGACUCACAAUCCUGAAUUCACAACCUGUGAGUUCUACAUGGCAUAUGCAGACUACCAUGAUCUCAUGGAGAUCACUGAGAAGAUGAUUUCAGGAAUGGUGAAGAACAUUACAGGAAGUUACAAGGUCACCUAUCACCCAGAUGGCCCAGAGGGCCAGGCCUGUGAUAUUGACUUCACACCACCCUUCCAGAGAAUCAGCAUGGUGGAAGAGCUUGAGAAAGCUCUUGGCCUGAAGCUUCCUGAGACCAGUCUUUUUGAAACAGAAGAAACUCGUAAGGUUCUUGAUGACAUCUGUGUGGAGAGAGGUGUGGAGUGUCCCGCUCCCCGAACUACAGCCAGGCUUCUUGACAAGCUUGUAGGUGAGUUCCUGGAAGUGACCUGCAUCAACCCCACCUUCAUCUGUGACCACCCACAGAUAAUGAGCCCACUGGCCAAGUGGCAUCGCUCCAAGAACGGCCUUACUGAGCGCUUUGAGCUCUUCGUGAUGAAGAAGGAAAUAUGCAACGCCUACACCGAGCUGAAUGACCCUGUGCGGCAGCGGCAGCUUUUCGAAGAGCAGGCCAAGGCCAAAGCUGCAGGUGAUGAUGAGGCCAUGAUUAUGGAUGACAGUUUCUGCACUGCCCUGGAGUAUGGGCUUCCACCAACAGCUGGCUGGGGGAUGGGCAUUGACAGACUCACUAUGCUUCUUACAGACUCUAAUAAUAUUAAGGAGGUUCUUCUCUUUCCUGCCAUGAAACCAGAAAACAAGGAGAAUCCAGCAAACACUGGUUUAACAGAAGGCCCGUCAAUUGUUACCUUCUGCUAGAGGGUAACCCAUGUGACUUGACCAUCUUUUCUGACCUUGGAAAGAAAAUUCAGGGCCAGAAGGGACCACAUAGAGUCCACUCACCAAAGAUGUAUUAAGUACAUAGGACUUACCAGAAUUGUGCUGGGUACUAGGGGCUACGAGGACAAGAAUGCAGCCGACCCUUUCCUCACAGAGAAGCUCCAGGGUCCCACCACUCUCUAGUUUGAGAUGUUACUGAAAUGAGGAGGCACCCCCCAAGAAUGGCUUUCUGCAUCUCGUCCCUCAAUAAAUCCUGUCAGUCUUUUGCUGCUCACCUUCAUUUCCCCCAACCUUGGAACGCCUCUGUUCCAAGUGCUUAUAUAGGCACAGCUGCUUUCUCAGGCUCGUGCAGGACUUGGUGCUGGCAGUGAACAGAAAGUGGUCCUUUUUCUGUAAAGAGCCACAACUGAGAGCGAAAUGCUUCCUUUUCAAGAUUCAAGAAAGCAGAAAACAUCCCACAGGCGGUGUGGCAUGGUGGGGGAAUGAUGGUAUUUGGACCCUGGUUGUGGAUGCCCAAUCUGUUCCUUACAGUGGGGCAGCUUGAGCUAUCCAAUUUUCCUGACAUUGAAUGAUGGAAAAGAGAUGAGAGAAGGGUUUAUAAACUCUCAGUUCUGUCUCAGCCACUCCAGAGGUACCAGCUCUUCCUGUUUGGAAGCCAGUUAGAAGACUGUUUGUCAUCACACAGUAUUGGCCCUUCAGUCCUGAUGCUUACCAGCAAUCUAACCCUGGGCCAAUCAGUCACAUUUCACCUCCUCUGAACUUCAGUUUCCUUAUCUCUAAAAUGGGGCUAAUCCUUGUGCUUCAUAGAAUAAUUGUGAGGUAAGCACCUAGGAACCUUGAAAGCACUUUAUGGAUGGCUUAUUUCUCAUUGUGAUAUUGUCUUAUUCAAGAGAAACACUAGUAAACAUUUGUUGAACUGA